rnacentral:pre_miRNA from 1 species
AUAAUACUCCCUCCAUCCCAAAAUUCUUGUCUUAGACUUGUUUAGAUAUGAAUGUAUCUAGUCAAGUUUUAGUAUUUAGAUACAUCCAUUUCUAGACGAAUCUAAGACAAGAAUUUUGGGACGGAGGGAGUAACAA